GUGCAUGUGUAUGUGUUUGUGUGUGCACACGUGCGUGCGUGUGUGUGUGUGUGUGUGAUAUGUAUUUGUAAGCUCUUGUGUGUGAAUGCCUAUCUGUGUGGAAACCAUAUGUCAAUGUCAAUGUCAAGUUCUUCCUUAAUUGUUCCUUGCCUUUUAUUUUGAAGCAAAAUCUCUUACUGACCCUGGAGAUCACUGAGUAAGCAGACUGGCUGACUAUCAAGCCCAUGUCUUUCUUUAUCAGCUUCCCCAGGUGUGGGGCUCCAGAAAAGUGCCCUAUGCUCAGCUUUCCUGUGAGUUCUGGGCAUCUGAACUCAGGUCUAUAUGGUUGAGUGACAGAACGUUUACCAUCCAAAUCACCUCCCCACUUCCAACCUCAGGUUUGUACCUGUUCCGUCUUCCAUUUGAGGAACUUUGCAUUUUAAAGUGGCCUCAGAGAUGCUUUCACAACCAUGCAGCGAAUCCACUCCUUCAGCAGCCUCACAGCUCUAUGGGCCCCUCAGGACAUUGACAGAAAGGGGCUCCAGGACCCCAGUAAAGGCAAACUUUUCCUCCCAGCAUGACAUAGAAAGGCAACAAUAAAGCAUAAGUGGCAACAGUAAGAUUCCAGAGUGCCACGGUGGCCACGGCUCUUGGCACACACCUGCUCCUGAGGAAUGAAGGGAGCGUGAGUUUACAGCAGCCUUGCUCCCCUGCCGUCUGGACAGCUGCUGGGAUGCUUCUGCCUCCUUCACUGGUGUCAGACAGCAGGCGUGCAGACUAGCCUUCACCUUUGCUCGUGACCUUGAGGCUCCAACUGGCACAUGUUGUAAGACAGAAAUGGGGUUUUCCAAACGGGGUUAUAACAUCUUGUUUAUGCACACAAAUGUGAGCAUAUGCACUUGAAUACUAGCACACACGUGUACAUGAGCAAGCAUAUUCAUGGCAUGGCCCGCUCCUUUGAUGUUCCCACCAACUCUUAUACUAACAGCAGCACAAAGAAUUCAGUUCUCAUCCUGACGUGUGUGUGUGUGUGUGUGUGUGUGUGUGAGGGUUGGGGUUGGGGGCUGCUAGGCAAUGGAGUGUUAAUGAGCUGCAGGCUCAGAAUGACAUUAGGGGCCCUGAGGACGGUGUUUCCGCACCGUUCAGGUGCUCAAAACAGCUCGCUCCCUCUAUGCUGGGCCAGGGCUGUGCCUGGCGGAUUUUCUUUCACUCAUUUUCCCCCCAAAGUGAUAUUAAAAGUUGGCACUUAAUGAUAAUGAAUUGAAUUGUUCUCGUCUAAAGUGGACCAAGUGACAGGAUGCUGGAAACCAAGAGAUCCCCGACCUGUGGAAGAAAACAAAAGUAAUUGGAUUACACAAAGAAAAUAAGAUAAACAUUCACUGAAAUUACACUGACAGGCUGUGAUUAACGAGCUGGCGGAGAAGUGAACAGCGGGCAGCACUUGGUGCCACGGGGCCCACUGCCAGGUGUGGCUGCUGGCUUCCUUUCCUGAGGGACUUCUACUUCCUUCUCAGAUGAAGAAGUCCUUCGAAAGCUCCUCAAGGAUCUUAUGAGCUGUGAACCCUAUUGUCUUGAUGGCUCUUGAACCUGGUCUAGCUGCCAUGCCCAUCAGACCUGAGCUACUUCCUGAAAGUGGCACUCAGCCACUCUGCUUCCUGCUACUGUUGUCAACACAUCAGGAAAACCAGGGAAAAUGAGCUCUAAACAAGGGCUCUCACUGAAGUGUUUCUGGAAACAAGAGCCUUCCAGAUCAGAGCCUAGAGGACUUUCUCUAUAGAGGCUAGAGAUUAUGACCAGACCGGGGUCAGCACAAUAGCAAAUCACCAAACCAUGGACACCACUUUAAUUCUGCGUGUUCUCUGAAAGCAAGUAUGAUCAAUUUGAUUUAAUUUUGGUGGUGUUGGUGGUAAGACCAGGACCUACUUCACACAUAGGCAAGUGCUCUCCACUGAUCCCCAGUCCCAGCCAGGGAGAUAUCUCAAUACUUGUUUUUGCUAUGGUCCAAGAUCUUGCUGAGCACAGCUGUGUCCAUCGCACUGAGAACUGCAUUUCCUGAGACUUUUGCCAAUAUGGGAGGAUAUUUUAAAGUCCAUGAGCCACUCUGAGUGUAAGAACUUGGGCUAUUUGAGGCAUACACAGGAAGACCAUGCUAACUGCCUUAGUGAGUUAACUUUGUAGUAAAUUAUGUGCGGGACUGUAGCUCAGGCGUUAAUGAUCAUACAUCUAAGUACCAGCUUAUUUAUGCAUAAUUUGCUUCCAUUGUACUCAGCCUUACUUGGAGACUCAUGAAUCAGCCACGAGCUUCAUUUCUCAUCGUCUUCCUGCCUCCCAAGGUCAGCAGUACCGUUUGUUCACUCUAAGCUCCCAGGGACUGCCACCUGACCCUCAGGCAGCCAGCAGCCCUGCCUUCUGGAUAAAUUGUUGGACCACGCCAAGAAUCAGAGGUGAGCCUCAUUCUCACUGGAAGGACAGUGGCAGAAUUCCCUGUGCGGAAGAUUCUUAUGACACAGGGCUUCUGUCUGUACAUUCAAGACAGGUCCCAGAAAAGAAACUACACAGAUGCACCCAGCAAGAAGCAGCAUCAGGAAUCAGGGAUAGAUCCAGUCCUGGAGUGAGGUCCAGAGUCCAGCGGACAAUUGGUCACAUCACCAGAAUCUUAGACUUCCUAGCCUGUCAUGUCCCAGGGUUCCUGCCAGGUACCUGAAGUCAAAAUCCAGUGAGACCACAAAGAAGCUGUCAUAAGACAACUCCAUCCCAAUUCACAGAUGGGAAACUUCACCAACAGAAUGUAUAAUUAAUACCACUUGGCUCUGCCAUCCUCUGUGGAGAAGCCAGAGUAGAUUAGAAACUUCCAGAAAGUUCUGUCCUAUGGGAAACAGCUCCUGGCUCCCAAAGGUUUUGGUACCAGAUUUAGUUCAUCACUAGCAAUGAAUUUGGCUGCUUUAGACUCUUUAAGAGUGACUGUUCCAUUGAUGUCCUUUCCCCAUCCAACAAGCCCAGAGCUCUGCUGCUCUCUAGAUGAUAAAGACCCAAACACAUUCUCCACUGAAUAGCUGCUGUGCCUGGCCAGGGUCACUCACUAUCUGCAGGGAACACUGUGCUCUGCAACCCAGUCUAGCAACUGCGAAGAGAGUCUUGCCUUAAUUGGCUCGGAUGUUAGUGACAAUGCAACAGAAGGUUGGCCUCUGAAAAAGGUCAUCUUCCUGACCUAUAGUUGGCCACCAUGCCUUCAUAUCACUGUGCUGUGGUACUUCCCUGUCUCAUGAGAUUAACCCUAUCCUUAUGGCCUUGUUAACUUUGGUUAUCUCUAUAGUGGGCUAAGAGUCACAUUGUUGGUUGUGCUUCAGUGCGUGUGUGGAGGGUAUUCAUUCAUCUAUAACAUUCACAGGGGAGAAGACUAUAUGAAAAGCCCAGAGCAGAGGCAGGUGACUGGGAUCUGACACCAGAGACCCUGUGAACCCAGAUGGCUACUGAGCUCCUUCACACUCCACACAGUACUGAUAGAAAGGUCUAGUUUGAGAUCUAGAGACACAUGUCGAGCAACAAGUGGUUAAAUGUUGCAGGGUGUUUCAUGGGAUUCCAGGUGUCGGGAGCUGCUGGUCACAUCAAGGGCAGACAUAGAGAAACAAGCCAGUUUUAUCUUAUGGCCUAGCAGGGAUCACAGUUCGGGACUGCCUGGAGGUUGCUGGCAAAAUUCUCUGCUUGUUGGGCUAUGGGGGGUGGGGGGACUGUGUUUGCAGCUCACAGUGGCCCACUACAUUCUGAACAACUGGUACAGUCCUAGCUAAUCCUGAAGUGACCUCUGUGUUCCCCAGACUCCGGGAACUAGCCCAGCAUUGGGGGUACUGGUUGCUUUUGUGAAACCUGAAGCAGAGUCUGAACACCUGAUAGUACCCUCCCCUUUGACCUCCCUCCUCUGAGCUGUAGUUUUGUUUGGAUGGCUCGGUCCACUCCCGAUCCAACCUCUCAUGCUGCUCGAGCUUGGCCUUUAGAUGCGUUUGGAAGAUGGACUGGAGAUGACAUCCCUCUUUCAGAGGUGAUUCUCUCCUUUCCUCUGCCCUCUGCCCUCCGGAUGGUAGCCCAGAUCCUCUAACUGUGCUCACAAUGAGUAAUGAUCCACUUCAACCCAGGGCCUGUCAGAUCCACUAAUCAAAUCCUUGCACCCAAUUAGGUAACCCAGGUGUCACAUUCUGUCUUGGUCUCUCCCAUGUCUUAUAUGAGCCAUUCUCUGGUCCUGGAAGCUCCCAGUACUUUAUGUCUGCAUUUGGCAGGGACUCUCCAUGCAUUUGAUGACAUUUUCUCCUUGCCUUGUGCCUUAUAGAAAUGUCACCAGCGUGCCACCCAUCAGUCCUGUAAUAAAGCCCCCAAUACUUGAGUAUGGGUCCCCAUAAUGUCUAGCACUGACAAUUUGACAGAAUCUAGAAUCCCUUGAGAGAUGGGACUCUGGGUGGAAGAUUAGAAGGCCUGAGCACUGUGGGUAGCACCAUUUACUUGGAUUGGGAUCCUGAAUUGCACUAAACUAAACUAAACUAAACUAAACUAACUGAACAGAUUGAGCACACUCUCUGCUCGGUUUUCCAUUGCAGCUUCAUUGUGGCCAGUUCCCUGAAGUUCCUGUGACUUCCCACCAUGAUAAACUGUUUCCUCUCAAACUGUGAGCCAAAUAAGCCCCUUUCACUUAAGUUAUUUGUGUCAGGGCAUUUCAUGACAGCAAUAGGAAAGAAGCUUAGAAAGCCCCAGUGAUCAGAUGUGUUGUGAGGCACCCACCAUGUUUUGCAGGAUGAGGGUACUAGGUACUGAGUACUGGGUACUAGAUACUAGGUACUCCUUUCUUGGCAACAGGGUUUUAACAUACAAACUCAGAUUGCUCUCUGCCCAGGUAUUACCACAGCCUUGCUGCAGGCCUCACCACCCUCAGCUGGGCAAGGCAAGGGACUCUGCAUCAAAGAUUCUCUGUAUUUUGUGGACAUCUCUCCAAUUCUGAGCAUCUCUCAUGGUCACCACAAAGAAGGCAUCCAGAGGUCUCCCACCUACCUUGAAACUGCUUCAGAACCCAAAAUGAAAUUGUUUCCCCCACCCAGCCCCCAAGGGUGACUAUUGAUUGACAUCCAGAAAGACAACCGACACCUUUUAAGUGUGAGUGAAGG